AUGCACCCAUCCUGCAGUACAGUUGCAGACAAGGGCCACCGUGUUGUCUACUCUUCCGACGGCAGGCGGUAUGAGAUCCCCUUGGUGUGCCUCUGCACAAGAGUCUUCCAGGAACUCUUAAGGAUGUCUCAGGGGGAGUGUGGGUUCACAAAUGAUGGGAGGAUCACACUGCCUUGUGAUACAGCGGUGAUGGAGUAUGUGAUGUGUUUGCUUAGGAGAGAAGCUUCAAAGGAUGUUGAGAGGGCACUCCUUAGUUUCAUAGUGAUAACUUGCCACCACCCAAGCAGAAUGGUGCAAUCACUCAGCGGACUUAACCAGUAA
rnacentral:rRNA from 1 species